AACGAACGCUGGCGGCACGCCUAACACAUGCAAGUCGAGCGCUUCACUUCGGUGAGGAGCGGCGGACGGGUUAGUAACGCGUGGGAACAUGCCCUUUACUACGGAAUAGCCUUUGGAAACGAAGAGUAAUACCGUAUACGCCCUACGGGGGAAAGAUUUAUCGGUAAAGGAUUGGCCCGCGUUAGAUUAGAUAGUUGGUGGGGUAACGGCCUACCAAGUCUACGAUCUAUAGCUGGUUUGAGAGGAUGAUCAGCAACACUGGGACUGAGACACGGCCCAGACUCCUACGGGAGGCAGCAGUGGGGAAUCUUAGACAAUGGGGGGAAACCCUCGAUCUAGCGAUGCCG
rnacentral:rRNA from 1 species